rnacentral:rRNA from 1 species
GAUGAACGCUGGCGGCGUGCCUAAUACAUGCCAGUCGAGCGAACAGAUGAGGAGCUUGCUCCUCUGACGUUAGCGGCGGACGGGUGAGUAACACGUGGAUAACCUACCUAUAAGACUGGGAUAACUUCGGGAAACCGGAGCUAAUACCGGAUAAUAUAUUGAACCGCAUGGUUCAAUAGUGAAAGACGGUUUUGCUGUCACUUAUAGAUGGAUCCGCGCCGCAUUAGCUAGUUGGUAAGGUAACGGCUUACCAAGGCAACGAUGCGUAGCCGACCUGAGAGGGUGAUCGGCCACACUGGAACUGAGACACGGUCCAGACUCCUACGGGAGGCAGCAGUGGGGAAUCUUCCGCAAUGGGCGAAAGCCUGACGGAGCAACGCCGCGUGAGUGAUGAAGGUCUUCGGAUCGUAAAACUCUGUUAUUAGGGAAGAACAAAUGUGUAAGUAACUAUGCACGUCUUGACGGUACCUAAUCAGAAAGCCACGGCUAACUACGUG